GUGCUCACUUCAGCAGCACAUAUACUAAAAUUGGAAUGGUUCAGAGAAGAUUAACAUGCCCUCUGCACGAGGAUGACACACACACUCUUGAAGCAUUAAAAAAAAAU